CGAACUAUCCAAUAACUGAACCAAAAAUUUCUACAAGUCUUAAAUGAGCUGUAGCAGCUGGAAAGAACUGAAAUGUUGGAAAUGCAUGUAAAUCGGGGAAAUGAUCUAGAGGAUCUUUACACCAGCCCACCACCCAUUUAACCCCAUCUUCUUCUUCACUUCAACAUAACACCAACAACACGCGACAACAUAAACAUUCAUCAGCUCAACAACAUCGACCUAUAUAAACACAAAAUUCCCAAAGGUCCUUUGCCGCCCAGAGUUCCCUCUCUUUAUACAUCUACAUAUGAUAAGCACAAUUUCUGCACUUCGAUCGUUCUAACAUCUGCGACAUUGCAGUAUCCAUGAUAUUUCCUUUUCUAAAAAUUGUCACAAUUUUGCAAAUUCGUUUAGAGAUUGUGCGAAAUCCAACGUGGAACAUUAUCCUCAAAACUGAUUUUGAAUUAUAAAAUUCAAAAACCCCAAUUAUCCCCAAUAUUGAUUUUUACCCUAAUCAUACGAAUUCGGAUGAUUCGAUACAGCAAAAGCUCAUCCAACAAGAUUCCAGAACUCCUAAAUCCCACAUUUAAAUUUCAUUCUCAAAGACCUAAAAUCAUUCCUAUAUAAACCCUUUUACUCCAUCGUUUGACGAGAAGGUUAAAGACAGUCAACAGUAGAGAACUCCAACUGAGAAAGGGAUUUCGCUAAGACUGAAGAUUCUAGUGUCAAGAAAUGUGAUAAGACUCACUUGAUCUCAAAUUUAUAGGCUAAGGAUUGAGCUUGUUUUUGGUGGUGGUACGAAAAAAAUUAGAAGAAGCUGGAAGGCCUGAUAUUGUUGCUCUGAAAUAGUAGUAGCGCCAAAUUUCACACAUGAGCAUGGGAAUGGACUUAAUACUGUUGGCUCUUUUCGUUUAAAUUAUUUCAGCCUGUGUACUAUUUCAAGGGGUUUAAUUCUAAAGUUUCUUCCUUUGCUAUUUGUGAUUCGUUCAUGUCUUUGCGUUAGUUAGGUUAGUUUGAGCAUUAACAUGAGUUUCAAUCAUGUUUGUCUAAGCUUUACUACUAUUUCUUUUUUCCUCUUAUUAGAAAUAUGUAAGAAUUACCUUUCUGUUGAACGCGUUUGUUUAUAUAACUUUGUUCGUUCUUGUCAUUUUUAGCAAAUGGUAUCGCAAAACUCGUCCUACCACUUGGGCAAUUGCUCACUAUUGUUUUGAUUUACGAGUUAAGACAACUUAAAGUUGUUCGAUUUGAAUGGUUAGAGUUUGUCUCUCUUUGAGCUUGUAUUGCUAAUGCGUCGAUUCAAUAGGUCGAAAAUUUGUUUUUAAGGCUAUCUGUUAAAGAGCAGUGACCCCUUUUUUUUAUUCUUUUUCACAUAUUGAAGGCCAUCUCCUUGUAUGAUCUUUGCUUAUGACUCUUUAUUUUGUUUCAAUCAUUUUCCUUUGUCAACAAAUAAAUCUUUAAUUUUUAGGCGAUUGAAUUCAUCCCUAUCUCUCAGUCUUUCCCCUUUUCUUUUUCCCUUAGAAGCCUCCACUGAAUCAUGAAACACUAUGACCAAGUGUAAGUGAAUCCAUGAAAGAGCCUAGAAUUCUCAUCUUUAAGCUUUUUUGAAAAUCUGAAAAUCACUACGCUAUGAGUGUGAGUUCAAUAAGGCCUUUAAGUUAUUUGUUCGUCCUCUCUUUUUAGUUAUUCUUCUUCGAUGGACUUUGUGUGGUAUUAACUACGAAAUUUGCUUAAUGAUUUCUGAUUUUAACUGUAUUCGUUGGUUCGAGUUAUAAAUGGUUACAUUGUAUUAUUCUUAUAAUAGAUUAAAGGUCCUUGAGGGACCGAUUUGAUUUGUACAUAUUGUAACUUUUCAAGAGAUGAUGAAAUAAGUAAGUUUUAAAUUAUUAUAUGGCAAUUCUUCUUGGAUAUGUUUUUGAUUGAAAGAAGUUGGAUUUAGCUUUUUGAUCAAUCAUUGAUUAUUUUUAUGGAAUGAAAGUUACUUAUUUUGCUCUUUAUGUAUUAAUUAGGUUCUAAUCUUUAUAUCUUUUUCUUUGCAUGUGAAACUUUUCCGCAUUCAAAUGGACUUUCUUCACCUCGCAUUUCUCCAAUGGGUCAACAAGGCUCGUUUUUCUUUUAGUUUGAGUCUCCCGACCAAAUGGACUGGAUAGCGUGAAAUGAGCCAAGACCCAUGAAAUUUAAGUUCAUGACUAGUCUUGAUAGGUCAAGCAGAGGCCCAAGUUUCAUCUUUCCUCUCUUUAAUUACUAGUAAUACAUAUUUGUUUAUUUGUAUUAACUCUAAUAUUUUUCUUAACUUAGUUUGAAUUUUCCUUUUGAAUUGGCAAUGUUUUGCAAAUAAAUUCUUUUAUAGAUU